rnacentral:rRNA from 1 species
AAGUCCCGCAACGAGCGCCAACCCCUACGUUUAGUUGCUAACGCGUGAAGGCGAGCACUCUAGACGAACUGCCGUUGACAAAACGGAGGAAGGUGGGAUGACGUCAAAUCAUCAUGCCCCUUAUGUUCUGGGCUACACACGUGCUACAAUGGCCGGUACAGACGGACGCAAAGCCGCGAGGUGGAGCAAAUCCUAAAAAGCCGGUCUCAGUUCGGAUUGCAGGCUGCAAUUCGCCUGCAUGAAGUCGGAAUCGCUAGUAAUCGCAGGUCAGCAUACUGCGGUGAAUACGUUCCCGGGCCUU